CCAGAGGCCUGUACUACGAAGCCAGUUCAACAUACCCAGGGUAUCUUCUCCUUAUCUGGCUUAACUAACCCUAACAAACGAGAUCCCUCUAAGCGGUCCUACGAUGAUUGUUAUCAACUCUGUAAAUCAACCCAGGUUUUCUCAGACUGG